UUUGAAAGCGUUUAAGCUUUUUUUGUUAACCCCAAUUCCUCCACCCUGCUAGAUCCCUUUAAUUACACUGAGAACUUCUAUAAAAUUAUAGAACAUUUUAUGCUAAAACUAGUAACAAGAGCUUACCCCUCUCUACAAUGCAAGUAUAAGCCAGCAAGAACUCAUCACUGGCAAAUAGCAGGCCUAAAUUCAAGUAGCAACCCCCCCCCCCCGAAAACACUACCUCACCUUAACUGUUAACCUAACACUAGAGCAUUCCAAGAAAGAUUAAAAGGGGGAGAAGGAAUUCCGCAAAUAUUAGUUCCGCCUGUUUACCAAAAACAUCGCCUCUUGUGAAUCAAUAAGAGGUCUAGCCUGCCCAGUGACUCUGUUCAACGGCCGCGGUAUCCUAACCGUGCAAAGGUAGCGUAAUCACUUGUCCCCUAAAUAGAGACUAGUAUGAAAGGCAUCACGAGAACUAAACUGUCUCCUCCCCCUAAUCAGUGAACCUAAUAACCCCGUGAAGAAGCGGGGAUCUCAAUAUAAGACGAGAAGACCCUAUGGAGCUUAAAACACUACAUCACCUGCCACCCACUUAUCCACCCUGGCACACUGAUUAUAUGUUUUUGGUUGGGGUGACCGCGGAGAAAAGCCUAUCCCCCGCGAUAAAGGAAUCCUCCACAAACAGUAAGUCACAACUUUAUGUAUCAGAAAACUGACAUUAUUGACCCAAUAUAUUUGAUCAACGAACCAAGUUACCCUAGGGAUAACAGCGCAAUCCACUUCGAGAGCUCCUAUCGACAAGUGGGCUUACGACCUCGAUGUUGGAUCGGGGUAUCCUAGUGGUGUAGCCGCUACUAA
rnacentral:rRNA from 1 species